rnacentral:rRNA from 1 species
GAUGAACGCUGGCGGCGUGCCUAAUACAUGCAAGUCGAGCGAACAGACGAGGAGCUUGCUCCUCUGACGUUAGCGGCGGACGGGUGAGUAACACGUGGAUAACCUACCUAUAAGACUGGGAUAACUUCGGGAAACCGGAGCUAAUACCGGAUAAUAUAUUGAACCGCAUGGUUCAAUAGUGAAAGACGGUUUUGCUUUCACUUAUAGAUGGAUCCGCGCCGCAUUAGCUAGUUGGUAAGGUAACGGCUUACCAAGGCGACGAUGCGUAGCCGACCUGAGAGGGUGAUCGGCCACACUGGAACUGAGACACGGUCCAGACUCCUACGGGAAGCAGCAGUAGGGAAUCUUCCGCAAUGGGCGAAAGCCUGACGGAGCAACGCCGCGUGAGUGAUGAAGGUCUUCGGAUCGUAAAACUCUGUUAUUAGGGAAGAACAAAUGUGUAAGUAACUAUGCACGUCUUGACGGUACCUAAUCAGAAAGCCACGGCUAACUACGUG